GGACCUACGGGGGGCAGCAGUGGGGGAUAUUGCACAAUGGGGGGAAUCCUGAUGCAGCGACGCCGCGUGGGCGAUGGAGUGCUUCGGCAUGUAAAGCCCUAUCAGCAGGGAAGAAAAUGACGGUACCUGACUAAGAAGCCCCGGCUAAAUACGUGCCAGCAGCCGCGGUAAUACGUAUGGGGCAAGCGUUAUCCGGAUUUACUGGGUGUAAAGGGAGCGUAGGCGGCCUGGCAAGCGUGAUGUGAAAUACCGGGGCCCAACCCCGGGGCUGCAUUGGGAACUGCCGGGCGGGAGUGACGAAGGGG
rnacentral:rRNA from 1 species